rnacentral:sRNA from 1 species
GUCAACUACCCUUCUCUGAAAGGAGGGGCUUGUAGGUAGCUAUAAGCUGAGUUGCCUAGGGUAAGUUACGGAGCUGUGGCAAUGCAAAGAAGUAACUACGUGAGCGAUAGGCAAGACCAGAUCUACUCCAGGAUGCUUACUCAGUCCUGGAUCCUGGA